rnacentral:rRNA from 1 species
GAUGAACGCUGACGGAAUGCUUAACACAGAAUGACGGAUUGGGUGACGGACGGGUGGGUAACGAGUAAAGAACUUACCGCACAGUUAGGGACAACAUUUGGAAACGAAUGCUAAUAACUAAUCCUUUGAGAGAGCUUUGGGUCCCAUUAGCUAGUUGGAGAGGUAACGGCUCACCAAGGCGAGGAUGGGUAGCCGGCCUGAGAGGGUGAUCGGCCACAAGGUGACACGGACACGGCCAUUACUCCUUCGGGAGGAAGCAGUGGGGAACAUUUGAAGAUGGACCAAAGUCUGAAGCAGGAAUUCGGUGUGUACGAUGAAUCUUUCGGAAUGUAGAGUGCGUUCAGUUGAGAAGCGGUACCAACAGAAGAAGUGACGGCUAAAUACGUGCCAGCAGCCGCGGUAAUUC